rnacentral:lncRNA from 1 species
ACAAAUCUAAAAAUCAAUUUUAAUAUAAAUUUGUAUGACUAAAUACUAUAAGCAUGACAUGAUCAAAGACAAAAAGAGAGAAAAAUAUAUCAUCUUGUUCUUUACAAUUAUGUUCCUUUUUUUUCCCUUUCCUAUAGGCUCAUGGCAUGCAAACUUCAAAUACUUCAACUACACACAAAAAUGAGAGAAAGAAAAUUAGAGCAAUAAAAAACAAAAGAAAAUUAAUAAAAGAUAAAUUUAAGUUUAAAUAUUAAUUGAAAAUGUAAAUAAAAUAACACAUUAAGACAAUAAAAAGUCUAUAAAAUGUAAGAGGUUUUCUUACUUUGUUUAUCUCAUUUUUUAUCUAUUCUCUCUUCAAAUCAAAAACUUUGUCAACAACACCAUACAUAUUUUCACCAUCCUUAAAUAUUAGAAAAUUAUAUAUUCUCAUGGUUUCUGUUCCCUAAAGGCACAAAGAUAAUAAAAAAAUUAUAGUAUGAAUGAGAUAAGGGAAACAUUAUUAUAUUUUUCUUCUUCUUUUCCUUUAAAAAUACUAAGAAACAAUAAGAUAAACAAAAACAAUAUAGAAGAAAAUAGUUAAAAAAAUCUAUAAAAUGUAACAUGUUUUUUACUUUGUCUAUCGUGUUUCUUCUCAUUUUUCUCUUUAGAUCAAAGAGUCUUUGCCAACACAACAUCAUACAUCUUUUUACCUCCUAAAAUAUUAAAAAAUUAUAUAUUCUCAUGACUUUUGUUUCCUAAAGGCAAAAAGAUAAUAAAAAAGUAAUUAAAAUAAAACUUAUAGCAUGUGAAUGAAAUAAGUGAAAAAUCAUUAAAUUUUUUAUUUUUUACCUAUAAAAACACUUAAGAAAAAGAAGAAGUUUCUCUUUUUAGAUCAAAGAGUCUUUUGCCAACACAGCACCAUACAUCUUUUCACCAUCUUGGAAUAAUAGACAAUUAUAUAUUCCCAUGACUUCCUUUCCCUAAAGGCUCAAAGAUAAAAAAAAAAAAAAACUUAUAGUAUCUGAAUGAGAUAAAUAAAAAAUCAUUUGAUAUAAAAUGAUUGACAUUAUUACUUACAUGCAUAGCAAAAUAUUGAUAAGUCUAGUGAGAGAAUUUGAUUACAAAGGUCACAUCUGAAAAUCUCAAAAAUAAUUAAUCAAUAAUGGGUUUCUUUUUCUAAAAAAGGAAAAAAGAAGUAGGCUUUGAAUGCUUUAGAUGCAAGACAACAUAAUGGUGUAGGAAUUAUACCCACAUCUUUCAUAUGUUGUAUGCCAUGUUGAAUUCCAUCCUUCCAAAUGUACUCAAAAUGAAUAAACAUCAUGUAAACCAAAUUUAUACUCUAAGAAUUAUACAUGAAAGAGAAAGUCAAAGAAGGAGAAGAGAAAAAAAAAAAGUAAAUGAAAAGGAAGAGAUUCCAGAUAGAAACUUAAAGUAAUAAAAGAAAUUAUAAAAAAAAAGAGUAGUGUUUUUACAUUUAAAAGUUGGAUUGUGUUGAAUCACCCUAGCCACCAAACGACCAAUUCUUCCAAAUCCUAUUACAUUUCAAUUUAAAUAUUAAUUAAAAAAACUGAGAAAAUGGAAAAAGUAGAAAAAUAAUUGAACUGAUGUUAAGCAACAGAAGGGUGAUCGAAGGAUGGAGAAGACUUACCGCUGAUUCCGAUCUUGACCUUGCCUGAUCCAUGCAAUUCAUUUGAAAACAAAACAAAAAUCAGAAAAGAAAGAAGAAAAAAAUUAGAUUGGAAGAAAUGGAGUAUAGAGUUGAAAAUGAAAAGAAAACGGUGAGUGUGCGGUGGUUAUUUGCAUACCCAUGACAGCGGGAAAAAAGAAAGUUGUUGGAGUAGGAAGUAGCAGAAGUUGUU